rnacentral:misc_RNA from 1 species
UUGUGGAGGAGGACGCCGAAGGUGGGGCUAAUGACUGGGGUGAAGUCGUAACAAGGUAGCCGUACCGGAAGGUGCGGCUGGAUCACCUCCUAACAGGGAGACAACAAAAUGUUUAAUAUUAUUAUUUUGUCACCUUAGGUCGAUCGGUAUCUCACGUUCUUAAUUUAUUAAGAAUUUCAUUUCCUAAGUUUUUCUAGGUCACACCCAUUAUUUUCCUGGGCCAUUAGCUCAGGUGGUUAGAGCGCACCCCUGAUAAGGGUGAGGUCCCUGGUUCAAGUCCAGGAUGGCCCAUAUCUCUAUGUUGGGGGUAUAGCUCAGUUGGUAGAGCGCCUGCUUUGCAAGCAGGAUGUCAGCGGUUCGAGUCCGCUUACCUCCACUGAUUACCACCUCUUCCAUAAUCUAUAGAAAGGAAAAUUUUUGAGUUGUGAUCACAAUCCUGAACGAAUCUAGCUUCCUAAUGAACUCAUUAAGAUGCUGGACUCAUUGAAUUAAUUUCAUUGUUUUCAGAGAACCUUGACAACUGCAUAGAUUAUUUUUAAAGACAAUAAGCAUCUUUAAUGAUGCAGAUUUAUUAUUUUUGCAAAUGCAUUAAUAACAAUUCUAUUAAGCUGAUGCUUCAAUUAUGAAGUUAUUGGUCAAGCUACAA